GGAAUAUUGGUCAAUGGUCGAGAGACUGAACCAGCCAAGUAGCGUGAAGGAAGACUGCCCUACGGGUUGUAAACUUCUUUUGUUUGGGAAUAAAGUGAGUCACGUGUGACUUUUUGUAUGUACCAUACGAAUAAGCAUCGGCUAAUUCCGUGCCAGCAGCCGCGGUAAUACGGAAGAUGCGAGCGUUAUCCGGAUUUAUUGGGUUUAAAGGGAGCGUAGGCGGCCCGUUAAGUCAGCGGUCAAAUGUCAGUGCCCAACAUUGGCAAGCCGUUGAUACUGGUGGGCUUGAAUACACACAAGGAAGGUGGAAUUCGUCGUGUAGCGGUGAAAUGCUUAGAUAUGACGAAGAACUCCGAUUGCGAAGGUAGCCUUCUGGGGUGCGAUUGACGCUGAGGCUCGAAAGUGCGGGAAUCAAACA
rnacentral:rRNA from 1 species